rnacentral:lncRNA from 1 species
CAAACACAGUGAGUGUGUCUGGGGGAACGAUCGAACAAGGAAGGAGGAGGGGGAAACCCUAAACUCAAGAAAUCAGGCAAUUGAAGCCUAAAAUCAUAAGAAAAUCCAGUGCAUGAGCCAUCUUAUCGAUCAUCUAAGCAUACCUAGUGAAGUGCUGGAAAGAAUAAGAACCAUGUCAAGAUGGACCAACUCAUGGGAAGCAAACGGGUCAAAGAGGAGGCAAAGAAACUAGCAUAAACAUGACGAGCACAAGGUUAUGAAUGUCGGACUUUCAAAGUGUUGAUAUAAUAAUGAAACGGUUGAAUCUUGAAAGGAUAAUCGGAUUGAAGUAACUUAUGCGGUUAGAAUAUGCUGUGGACGUUUUAGUUUAUACAACAUUUUAUGUUUGGUCGUCAUCAUCUACCAACGGGUAAAUCCUCAAUUCAGGCGACUUGGAGAAUCGGAGCGAGCGCGUGUUCAUGUUAUGUCAUACCAAACGCUUCCGCUAGCUUGUUCAAAUGUUUUUAGUCCAAAAUUUGUUGUAUUGGUUCUUAGUAGUAUUUUGUCGAAUGAAUCGAAGAAUUGUAUCUAGUUUGAUUAUGUUUAAAACAGGGGAAUGCUCGUUUUAUGGACGGGUCAUGCCCAAUUUUUGUUAAAUUAAUGCACCUGCGUUAUU